rnacentral:misc_RNA from 1 species
GAAAUGCGAUACUUAAUGUGAAUUGCAGAAUUCCGUGAAUCAUCGAGUCUUUGAACGCAUAUUGCGCCCGAGGCUUCGGUCAAGGGCAUGUCUGCCUCAGCGUCGGUUGACCCCUCUCGUCCACUUCCCUCGUGGAAGCAGACGGACCUGGCAGUCCCGCUGGCGACAGCGGGUCUGCUGCAGAACAGACGACGAGCCAGCCGCAGCGCCGCUCGAUUGGUAGGUUUUCUCCGGAAGACAUGCCGUCGAGUAGCCUGGGGACCAACUGCUCGUCCUACCAACGACGGGGGAGCGCGCAAGCCAUCCCCCUGACUCUCAUUUCGACCUGAGUUCAGGCAAGACCACCCGCUCAACUUAA